rnacentral:rRNA from 1 species
UAGUGAUGAUAGCGGAGAGGAAACACCCGUUCCCAUCCCGAACACGGAAGUUAAGCUCUCCAGCGCCGAUGGUAGUUGGGGCCAGCGCCCCUGCAAGAGUAGGUCGUUGCUA